rnacentral:rRNA from 1 species
GACGAACGCUGGCGGCGUGCUUAACACAUGCAAGUCGAACGGUGAAGCGCCUUCCUUUUUGGUGGGUGUGGAUGAGUGGCGAACGGGUGAGUAACACGUGAGUAACCUGCCCCCUUCUUCUGGAUAACCGCAUGAAAGUGUGGCUAAUACGGGAUAUUCUGGGUCUGUCGCAUGAUGGGUCUGGGAAAGAUAUUGUUUCGGUGGGGGAUGGGCUCGCUGCCUAUCAGCUUGUUGGUGGGGUGAUGGCCUACCAAGGCGGUGACGGGUAGCCGGCCUGAGAGGGUGGACGGUCACACUGGGACGGAGACACGGCCCAGACUCCUACGGGGGGCAGCAGUGGGGAUUAUUGCACAAUGGGCGAAAGCCUGAUGCAGCGACGCCGCGUGAGGGAUGGAGGCCUUCGGGUUGUGAACCUCUUUCGCCAGUGAAGCAGGCCUGCCUCGUUUGUGGGUGGGUUGACGGUAGCUGGAUAAGAAGCGCCGGCUAACUACGUG